AGUGAACGCUGGCGGUAGGCCUAACACAUGCAAGUCGAACGGCAGCACAGUAAGAGCUUGCUCUUACGGGUGGCGAGUGGCGGACGGGUGAGGAAUACAUCGGAAUCUACUUUUUCGUGGGGGAUAACGUAGGGAAACUUACGCUAAUACCGCAUACGACCUACGGGUGAAAGCAGGGGAUCUUCGGACCUUGCGCGAUUGAAUGAGCCGAUGUCGGAUUAGCUAGUUGGCGGGGUAAAGGCCCACCAAGGCGACGAUCCGUAGCUGGUCUGAGAGGAUGAUCAGCCACACUGGAACUGAGACACGGUCCAGACUCCUACGGGAGGCAGCAGUGGGGAAUAUUGGACAAUGGGCGCAAGCCUGAUCCAGCCAUGCCGCGUGGGUGAGGAAGGCCUUCGGGUUGUAAAGCCCUUUUGUUGGGAAAGAAAAGCAGCAGGUUAAUACCCCGCUGUUCUGACGGUACCCAAAGAAUAAGCACCGGCUAACUUCGUG
rnacentral:rRNA from 1 species